UGGAUCGUGGCGAACGGGUGAGUAACACGUGAGCAACCUGCCCUGGACUCUGGGAUAAGCGCUGGAAACGGCGUCUAAUACUGGAUAUGAGACGUGAUCGCAUGGUCGUGUUUGGAAAGAUUUUUCGGUCUGGGAUGGGCUCGCGGCCUAUCAGCUUGUUGGUGAGGUAAUGGCUCACCAAGGCGUCGACGGGUAGCCGGCCUGAGAGGGUGACCGGCCACACUGGGACUGAGACACGGCCCAGACUCCUACGGGAGGCAGCAGUGGGGAAUAUUGCACAAUGGGCGGAAGCCUGAUGCAGCAACGCCGCGUGAGGGAUGACGGCCUUCGGGUUGUAAACCUCUUUUAGCAGGGAAGAAGCGAAAGUGACGGUACCUGCAGAAAAAGCGCCGGCUAACUACGUGCCAGCAGCCGCGGUAAUACGUAGGGCGCAAGCGUUAUCCGGAAUUAUUGGGCGUAAAGAGCUCGUAGGCGGUUUGUCGCGUCUGCUGUGAAAUCCCGAGGCUCAACCUCGGGUCUGCAGUGGGUACGGGCAGACUAGAGUGCGGUAGGGGAGAUUGGAAUUCCUGGUGUAGCGGUGGAAUGCGCAGAUAUCAGGAGGAACACCGAUGGCGAAGGCAGAUCUCUGGGCCGUAACUGACGCUGAGGAGCGAAAGGGUGGGGAGCAAACAGGCUUAGAUACCCUGGUAGUCCACCCCGUAAACGUUGGGAACUAGUUGUGGGGACCAUUCCACGGUUUCCGUGACGCAGCUAACGCAUUAAGUUCCCCGCCUGGGGAGUACGGCCGCAAGGCUAAACUCAAGGAAUUGACG
rnacentral:rRNA from 1 species